GACGAACGCUGGCGGCGUGCUUAACACAUGCAAGUGGUGCGACGAACCAGGCUUCGGCCUGGGGCGAAGCCGCGAACGGGUGAGUAACACGUGGGCAAUCUGCCCCUUUGAUCGGGACAACCCGGGGAAACCCGGGCUAAUACCGAAUGAGGUGGCGACUCAUGAGAGUCGUCACGAAAGGAAGCUUCGGCCUCCGCGAAGGGAUGAGCCCGCGGCCCAUUAGCUUGUUGGUGGGGUAAAGGCUCACCAGGGCGACGACGGGUAGCCGGCCGGAGAGGGGGACCGGCCAGACGGGGACUGAGACACGGCCGAGACUCCGACGGGAGGCAGCAGUGGGGAAGAUUGCCCAAUGGGCGCAAGCCUGAUGCAGCAACGCCGCGUGAGGGAUGACGGCCUUCGGGUUGUAAACCUCUUUCAGCACCGACGAAGCGUAAGUGACGGUAGGUGCAGAAGAAGGACCGGCCAACUACGUGCCAGCCGCCGCCGUAA
rnacentral:rRNA from 1 species